AGAUUGAACGCUGGCGGCAGGCCUAACACAUGCAAGUCGAGCGGCAGCACGGGUACUUGUACCUGGUGGCGAGCGGCGGACGGGUGAGUAAUGCCUAGGAAUCUGCCUGGUAGUGGGGGAUAACGCUCGGAAACGGACGCUAAUACCGCAUACGUCCUACGGGAGAAAGCAGGGGACCUUCGGGCCUUGCGCUAUCAGAUGAGCCUAGGUCGGAUUAGCUAGUUGGUGAGGUAAUGGCUCACCAAGGCGACGAUCCGUAACUGGUCUGAGAGGAUGAUCAGUCACACUGGAACUGAGACACGGUCCGAGACGUCCGUACGGAGGCGAGCGAGUGGGAAUAAUUGGACGAAUGGGCGAAAGCCGUGUAU
rnacentral:rRNA from 1 species